ACCCGCGGCAAGACGGAAAGACCCCGUGAACCUUUACUAUAGCUUGACACUGAACACUGGUCCUUGAUGUGUAGGAUAGGUGGGAGGCUUUGAAGUGUGGACGCCAGUCUGCAUGGAGCCGUCCUUGAAAUACCACCCUUUAAUGGCUGGUGUUCUAACGUAGACCCGUAAUCCGGGUUGCGGACAGUGUCUGGUGGGUAGUUUGACU
rnacentral:rRNA from 1 species